CUUCGGAAGAAGGACUGCUGGUUUUAUACCAGCCGCAGCAAAUAGGCCCAAACAACUGUUUAUCAAAAACACAGGUUUCUGCAAAAUCGUAAGAUGAAGUAUAGGGGCUGACGCCUGCCCAGUGCUGGAAGGUUAAAAGGAGGACUUAGCUUCGGCGAAGGUCUUAAUUGAAGCCCCAGUGAACGGCGGCCGUAACUAUAACGGUCCUAAGGUAGCGAAAUUCCUUGUCGGGUAAGUUCCGACCCGCAUGAAAGGCGUAAUGAUUUGGGCGCUGUCUCAACAAUAGACUCGGUGAAAUUUAAAUUCCAGUGAAGAUGCUGGGUACCCGCGACAGGACGGAAAGACCCCGUGGAGCUUUACUGUAGCUUGAUAUUGAAUGUUUGUGCUGCAUGUGCAGGAUAGGUAGGAGACUUUGAAGUCGGAACGCUAGUUUCGAUUGAGUCACCCUUGAGAUACUACCUCUGUUGUAUGAACGUUCUAACUCUGAUCAGUUAUCCUGAUCGAAGACAGUGUCUGGCAGGCAGUUUGACUGGGGCGGUCGCCUCCUAAAAGAUAACGGAGGCGCUCAAAGGUUUGCUCAGAAUGGUUGGAAAUCAUUCGUAGCGUGUAAAGGCAUAAGCAAGCUUGACUGUGAGACUGACAAGUCGAGCAGGUACGAAAGUAGGACUUAGUGAUCCGGUGGUUCCGUAUGGAAGGGCCAUCGCUCAACGGACAAAAGCUACCCCGGGGAUAACAGGCUCAUCUCCCCCAAGAGUCCACAUCGACGGGGAGGUUUGGCACCUCGAUGUCGGCUCAUCGCAUCCUGGGGCUGUAGUCGGUCCCAAGGGUUGGGCUGUUCGCCCAUUAAAGCGGUACGCGAGCUGGGUUCAGAACGUCGUGAGACAGUUCGGUCCCUAUCCGUCGUGGGCGCAGGAAAUUUGAGAGGAUCUGUCCUUAGUACGAGAGGACCGGGAUGGACAUACCUCUGGUGUACCAGUUGUUCUGCCAAGAGCACCGCUGGGUAGCUACGUAUGGAUUAGAUAAUCGCUGAAAGCAUCUAAGUGAGAAACUAACCUCGAGAUGAGAUUUCCCAUUCGUCAGAAGUAAGACCCCUGAGAGACGAUCAGGUAGAUAGGCUAGAAGUGGAAGUGUAGUGAUGCAUGGAGCGGACUAGUACUAAUAGGUCGAGGACUUAACCAAG
rnacentral:rRNA from 1 species